rnacentral:rRNA from 1 species
AGAAUUUGAUCUUGGUUCAGGACGAACGCUGGCGGCAUGCCUAACACAUGCAAGUCGAACGGGGGUAGCAAUACCCUAGUGGCGAACGGGUGAGUAACACAUAAGCAAUCUGCCCUUCACAGGGGGAUAACAGCGGGAAACUGCUGCUAAUACCGCAUAAGACCACGGUACCGCAUGGUACAGGGGUAAAAACGAAUCAGUGGUGAAGGAUGAGCUUAUGUCCCAUUAGCUAGUUGGUGAGAUAACAGCCCACCAAGGCGACGAUGGGUAGCCGACCUGAGAGGGUGAUCGGCCACACUGGAACUGAGACACGGUCCAGACUCCUACGGGAGGCAGCAGUGGGGAAUAUUGGGCAAUGGAAGGAAACUCUUACCCAGCAAUGCCGCGUGAGUGAAGAAGGUCUUCGGAUUGUAAAGCUCUUUGAUUGGGGACGAAGAAAGUGACGGUACCCAAAGAACAAGCCCCGGCUAACUACGUGCCAGCCGCCGC